AGUGUAAUCAUCAUCAUAAUUGCCAUCCACUCGGUCUUCCUCCUUGUUUUCUUCCUUAUGCUUCUCUUUGUCCAUUGUGUGGAAAUCAUCAAAUCGCCUUAGGAGAGCAGCAAGGCUUUUGUCCACACUAGCAACGGAUUCCUCCAAACUUGUGAGCUUGUUGUUUGUGGCAAUCUGCGUAGCCUCCAACUGUCCCAGCUUUUCAUUUGUCACUUGCAAGUCGUUAUCAAGUCCCUCUGUGUGCAGCUUCACUUUCCUUUCAAAAUGUUGUAUGAUGCCCUUAGUGCGAGGUGUAAGUGGUGUUUCGUUAAAAUCAUCUGCCCCUGGCAUGGUUCAAAGACAAAGACAACAAAAAGGCAAGUGAAGAAAUAAAAGCCCUACAACUACUAGGAUGUAGCUACAGCAAGUCGCUCACACUCAACCUGUAACACAAGUUCUUACCAAUUCUUACCUUGCUUGACAGGAGGGGUCGUCUGCCAACAAGUGUACAGCAAUGGACGAAGUGUAUCGGUGCUGCAGCACAAGACCUGUCAAGCUGUAGAGUAUGUGGAGCUAUAGUUGGGCUGAAACAAGGAACGAACUAGCACCACGUUAGUUAUAAAAGCGAGCUGAAUAAACGCUCAACGGUGGUACUGUGCUGGUCCUAGCCUAGACCGUGCUAGAGACGCGAGCCUGGACACAAAGGGAAAACACAGCACACCACUAGAAACAAAAUGAGCAGCCCUACUGGAAACAAAAGGAACAACAAUCCCCUUCUUUUGAUUUUUUUUUCUUUUUUUUUUCUUUUUUCUUUCUUUUUUUUCUUUAUUUUUUUUUUCUUUCUCUUUUCUUUUUUUUGGGGAACCUCAAAACCUGAUUAUAUAAACGAAAUAGUACAAAAUAUCACUUCACCACUCCCACCCUCUCACUAGAGUAAGGCUGAACCUCAAAAUUCAAUAUAUCUAGCACAGGUAUGAAGUGCUAUCUUUUCUUUUGGAUCACGUUGAUGGAAACGCAGAAUAGACCAACAAGUGGCUGCACCUAUUAUCAAGAUCUACUCAAAUUCCAACCCACAAUAGAUUGGACGCAGUUGUGACUAGAUGGUGACAAGAACUCGAAACUCUAAAGGACUAGACACUAAGACCAGCAACUCGACACAAACCGAAGCAACGCAAAUUCAACAAGCCCUAACUAAAACGGUACUAGCCAAGGCACAAAGGUUUAAUAGGAUUAUGAAAAAACUAAUCUACUAUAUUUUUUUUGGCUUUUCUGGACUAUAGGAAAUUAAUUAAAAACAGCAAAGGAUUAGAAGUCUCUCACCGAAGAACCUUGCUCUGAUUACCAACUGAUGUGAACCCACUAGGGUUUUCGCCUGAUCUUUCGAUGAGAGGCGCUGGAUAAUUCGAUUAGUGAAUGGAGAUGACGUUCACGGCCCGACUACAGCCCUCAAGACUGCGCCUUAGCAACCGAUACACCGCCUCCAAUGGCUGUCACGAUCUUGUGGAGCGCAACACCCGGCCACUAGGGCACUCGUCCUGCAAGCAAUCGAAGAACCAGCAAGAGCAAGUAGAACAAGUACUAAAUUACCAGAUGUAAAUGAAGGUUUCAAACUCAAUCUCUAAUGAAGUGGGGUUUCGAAAACAAGAAGACGGGCGGCUAGAUCAGCACGCGCGCUUACAAGCAAGUAGCGAAGGCUAAACUUUAUCUAAUCAAAACCCAGUUGUUCAUGGCGGCUCU
rnacentral:lncRNA from 1 species